AGAGUUUGAUCAUGGCUCAGAGUAAACGCUGGCGGCGUGCUUAACACAUGCAAGUCGAGCGAGAAAGCUCUUUCGGGAGUGAGUACAGCGGCAGACGGGUGAGUAACGCGUGAGAAUCUGCCCUUUAGUGAAGAAUACCUCCGAGAAAUCGGAGUUAAUACUGCAUAAGUCCCUUCGGGGAGAAAGCUGGCCUCUUUGCU
rnacentral:rRNA from 1 species